GAAUCAAAUUUCGUGCCAGCAGUUGCGGUUAUACGAUUUCUUUAAUUUAAAUAGUUAAGUUUCAGUUAAUAUAAUAAUAAUAUAAAAUAUCUAUAAUUUUGGUGAAAUAUAUUUUGUCUUUAAAAAUUAAUUUUAUGUCUGAAAAAUUUUUGUUUAAACUAGGAUUAGAUACCCUAUUAUUAAAAAUGUAAUAAAAAUAACUUGAUUAUUAUUAGAAAUGAUCUUUAAAUUCAAAGAAUUUGGCGGUAAUUUAUCUUAUCAGAGGAACCUGUUUUAUAAUUGAUAAUCCACGAUAGAAAAAACUUUAAUUUAAUUUGUAUAUCUCUGUCAAGAAUGUUUUAUAAGAAAUAUUUUCAUAAUAUNAUUAUGUAUAUUUAAUGUCAGGUCAAGGUGCAGUUUAUAUUAAAGAAAAAAUGGGUUACAAUUAAUUAUGUAUUGAAUUAUUUUUUUAAAAAUUAAAAAAAAUAUGAAAUUGGAUUUGACAAUAAAUUAAUUAAAUUUAAUUAAUUGAAAUUGGCUCUAAUUUAUGUACAUAUCGCCCGUCACUCUCAUAACAUUAAUGAGAUAAGUCGUAACAAAGUAACUGUACCGGAAGGUGUAGUUAGAAAGA
rnacentral:rRNA from 1 species